GAUGAAGAACGUAGCGAAAUGCGAUAAGUAAUGUGAAUUGCAGAAUUCAGUGAAUCAUCGAAUCUUUGAACGCACAUUGCGCCCGCCAGUAUUCUGGCGGGCAUGCCUGUUCGAGCGUCAUUUCAACCAUCAAGCCCCAGGCUUGUGUUGGAGCCCUGCGGCUGCCGCAGCCUCCCAAAACCAGUGGCGGGCUCGCUAUCACACCGAGUGCAGUAGUUUACUCUUCGCUCAGGGCGUGUGGCGGGUGCUAGCCGUAGAACCCCCAACUUCUCAAGGUUGACCUCGGAUCAGGUAGGAAUACCCGCUGAACUUAAGCAUAUCAAUAAGCGGAGGA
rnacentral:misc_RNA from 1 species